rnacentral:lncRNA from 1 species
AUGUCUUUAGAUUCAUGCCUCUCUAAAAUCUUCUUCCCUUCCCUCUUUCCAUUUCACGAAUACCAAUCCGUCAUCAGUUCUUGGUCACGAAACAACCGGACUACUAAAACCUUGUGAAGCUUUCAUGUUUAUGAACAACAGGCCCAUCAACUGUUUGAUAAUUUGCCCCAACUAGAUGUUGAUGUUGGGGAUACACAAGGAGACAACCAUUGAUUCAUGCAUGCCUCAACUUUCAUUUGUUUGUUUGGUUGAGAUGUACAACGAAGACAUUCUCUCAUUUCUUCUUACGAAACAAGGCUGAUAAAAUUGCAUACAAGUAUUUUUAUAGUCUUAGACAAUGUACAUUGGUUUAGAUUGAUGGAGGUAUGCCUCAGAGGGAACAGUGAUGAGCAUGACAGCAAUGGAUGAAUAUGGGACUUGUGCUCAAAAUUCAAGAGAUAGCAAUAUCCAUAAACCUUACCCAUCAAAUGGGAUGGUCUAUAUGAUGUCGAACUGCUAGACAUUACAGAAUUCUAAACUUGUGAUUAAGGAACACAAUUUGUAUCAUAUUUAGAG